UAGGGAAUCUUCCACAAUGGACGCAAGUCUGAUGGAGCAACGCCGCGUGAGUGAAGAAGGUUUUCGGAUCGUAAAGCUCUGUUGUUGGUGAAGAAGGAUAGUGGUAGUAACUGGCCUUUAUUUGACGGUAAUCAACCAGAAAGUCACGGCUAACUACGUGCCAGCAGCCGCGGUAAUACGUAGGUGGCAAGCGUUGUCCGGAUUUAUUGGGCGUAAAGCGAGCGCAGGCGGAAGAAUAAGUCUGAUGUGAAAGCCCUCGGCUUAACCGAGGAACUGCAUCGGAAACUGUUUUUCUUGAGUGCAGAAGAGGAGAGUGGAAUUCCAUGUGUAGCGGUGGAAUGCGUAGAUAUAUGGAAGAACACCAGUGGCGAAGGCGACUCUCUGGUCUGCAACUGACGCUGAGGCUCGAAAGCAUGGGUAGCGAACAGG
rnacentral:rRNA from 1 species